CAUCAUUGUAAAGGAUCUUGAUAGCAUCGUCGAAUCGGCAUAGCACCGUCCAAGAGUAAGACCUACCAACAACUGAACAAGGCAACAAAUAUCAAAGGCUAGAUUCUUCAACACAGAGUGCUUGGACCCAAAACAAAGGAAACGCCGAUGAAAAAAAGGAGUCAGCAUGUAAGCCUCAAGGAAAUUACGUCAGCACCUCAGCAGGCAAACAGCUUCAGCAAUAGGCCUUUUUUGUGUUCCAUUCACACCUUUCGAGCCAAUCUACUAAAUCGCACCCCACGAGUUACCCACCAGAUGACCGUUCCAAACGAGACUAGAGGAAAUGAAUACACAUGUCAACAAACAGAGUUAUGAAGGCUCUAAGCAUAUCUAUAAAAUCAAUUCUUCGUAUGCCUUAAGAGCUGCAACAGCAACACUCAAAAGAAAACUAAUGCGAAACAGAAAACAAGCAAAGAACACAAGAUCACAACUAAAAGUUCUGUAAAACUAAUCCGCGCAGAUCAACCAUCAUCCCUCACCAAUCAAGCCCAAUCUGCAUGUAAAAAGAGGUCAUUCUAACUUAUUUACAACCCCACUCGGAGAUGAUGAGGGAGAGAACCACUCUCCGGGAAAGGGAAUGAAGGGUAUCCCUGGCCAAAAGGGGCAGAAGAAGGCCGCAAAUCGACCAGGAACAAGUGACCUGAACUUGCAAAGGAGAAGAACAAAGGUAAGAGAAAACGACGCGAAAGAGUUGAGGCAAUUGGAUGAUUAAAGUCGAAGGUUGAGACCAUUGACUUCAAAUUGCCUAAGAUUGAAGUCAACGUUGUUUUCCAGUCCACUCCUCGGUGGAAACUAGUUGACGCUCACCUGGACGCUUGCAUGCACAGGCUGUUGAAGCCUCGCCUUUCCUCGUCGUUGCUCUAGGUCUUCUGAUCCUGUUUGUAUAUUUUAGCUUAUGGGUGUUUUUUGAAUUUUCAUCUAUUCAGUUUCGUGUGUUUCUUAAAUGGGCUUCUAUUCUUGAAUUAGUUAUUUGUUGAAUUGCUUGUAAUUGCAAUAUGUGAGGCUUUAAAUAGAAUAUGGACAUGCAACUUUUGAAUAGAAUCUGGACUUGUAGCUUGUAAACUACAAUUUUGAUUAUAGAUCUGGAAGUAUUCUGUAGUUAUUUCUUUUAAUAAAUUGAUGUAAUUAGUUGAA